rnacentral:rRNA from 1 species
UAUUUAUCCCGGGCCCAAAUUUUGCUUUCAGGGGGCUGCUAGGGGACUACGAGCGCGUGCUUAAAACUCAAAGAACUUGGCGGCUUGUUAACUACCUAGGGGAAUAUGUGCCUUAAUCCGAUUAUCCCCGUAGAAUCUUACUGUGCCUUGAAAAAGUGCAGCUGGUGUAUUGCCGUUGUCAGCUUGUUGUGUUAGAGCAGAGAGGAACAGGCUCAAUGGAGCCGGAGCGAUAAGUUCGUUGGUGUCCGUGAAUUCAGGUCGUAAUACCGCCAAUGGCUCAAGGGAGUAGGUGUUACAUUUUAUAUUUAAAAUUACGGAUCUUUAUUUUGAAAUAUUUUAGUGAAGGUGAACUUAGGAGUAAGGGAAAAUUAACAUGUUCCCCUGAACCGAGACUCUGGCUUGUGUACAAACUGCCCGUCGCUCUCGCCGAGAGGUGAGAUAAGU